rnacentral:rRNA from 1 species
UACAGAGGUCUCAAGCGUUGUUCGGAUUCAUUGGGCGUAAAGGGAGCGUAGGCGGCGCGGUAAGUCGGGUGUGAAAUCUCGGGGCUUAACUCCGAAACUGCAUUCGAUACUGCCGUGCUUGAGGACUGGAGAGGAGACUGGAAUUUACGGUGUAGCGGUGAAAUGCGUAGAUAUCGUAGGGAAGACCAGUGGCGAAGGCGGGUCUCUGGACAGUUUCUGACGCUGAGGCACGAAGGUCAGGGGAGCAAACGGG